rnacentral:misc_RNA from 1 species
GGAGCGGCCCGAUCUAUUCCUUGCAGCGCUCCGUGCAUGACACCCGCGUUGUUCUCUCUCGUCUACCUUUGCGCAACUCACUCAGCCUGUGGUGCGGUGGUGCUCCUCCUCCCCGACAAACCCCACACAUACAUCCACCAACACUGACAGAGCUUCUCCAUAGAGCACAGAGGAGGUGCUGACUCGUCACCUGGUGCUGCCAAUAAGUCUUGCGUCGCCGCAUGCCCCCCUCCCCUCUGUGCUCGUGGAGCCCGCGCGCGCCACUCAUGACAGGGGGUCUUUCUGCGAGUGGGGCGGCUGAGCCUCUGCCGUGCCGCGUGCCGUUUCUGCCCAAGCUGAAAUUCCUCUGCCUUCACGUCUUUUGCGCGCUUUUCGUAGACCUCGUGCUGCGGCUGACGCGCUUCUUCAGCCGUGCACAGCUUAGGACAGAGGCAACGGCUACGCACGGCUCUCUUCAAGCAAAAUCGUUCUUUAAGCUGGACAGGCUGGACAAGGUGCCGUACGCGGAUCCGCCGUACAGUGGGCAUGUCAGCACCAUCCUGUGCGCUUUCCGUCCCCAUCGGAGCAUUCCGUAUCAGCGCGUGGUUCACCCCGGCGCGGACGGCAACCCCAUGUACUUGGACUGGCUGCUCACAGAUUCGCGCCAUGCCAAAGGAGUGUUCCUCAUCAUCCCCGGACUCGCUUCGUGGUCCGGUACCAACUAUAUCGAGCACUUCGUGUGGUUCGCCUUCACCCACCACUUUCACUGCGGCGUCUUCAACUCUCGCGGUAUGGGUAACACACCCAUCGAGACACCGCGGCUCAUGUCCGGCAAGUGGACAGACGACUUGCGCGCCGUUCUACGCGACGGGCCAUUCUCGCGUGCCGCCAUUGAAAAACACUGUGGCGCUGGCAUUCCUAUUAUCGCUGUCGGUUUCAGCCUGGGCGGCGUGAUUCUGUCCAAGUACGUUGGCGAGGAGUGCCUUGCGGCUCGCGAGCUAGUCAUGGACGCGGUCAUGGUCGUGAACUCCCCUCUCGACUGCCUCGACUCCAACGCCGUCAUGAACCGACGCAUCAGCAAACUCCUUUACCAGCCAAGCAUGGCAGGGGGCCUGACGGCGUAUGCUCGGCGGCACGCCAAAGUGCUGAAGGAUCUCCCCGGGCUUUCCCCGGAUGUGCGCGCCGCCUUCGCUUCGGGGCGCCUGGAGAAGGUUCUAGCGCAGGUGAAGACUGUGCGCGACUUUGACCGCUUCAUCACCGCCCCGACGCUGGGGUUCGCCACGCCGGAGGACUACUAUCACCACAUCUCCCCGAUCGAGUGGCUACCGCACUUUUCUGUACCUGUCCUGUGCAUCAGCGCCGCCGACGACCCGGUGACGGGAGAGCCACCCAUGGCGAGUUUGGCUAACACCAUGCGGUCCAACCCUAACGUGGCGCUGCUCGUCAUUCCGCACGGCGGCCACCUCGGCUACAUUCGCAGCGUAUGGGACGAGUGGCUCGGGACGGAGACGGUGAUGGAGAAAAUCAUCUACGAGGUGGCGGCCGCCAUCACGCCCAGGCGCUAAUGCGAUGAACGCGAUCUUCCGCACCCCGUACUCAUUUUGUCUUUUGCUCCGUUUGCACUUUUCUGCGGUGGUGUCCCUUCUCCCUCCUCCUCUCCUCACCCCUUCCGUAUCUUCGCUGGCAGGGCUGCUGCUGCGGCGAGUGACAUGAGGCGUGAGCGUGCCAUCGCCCAUGCUGCGGUCUCUCGUUCUUCAUCCCCUAGUACCGUCACGUGCGCACCUGUAGCCAGCCAACGUUACAGUCCCGCUCGGCGGUACUUUCCGUCGCACUGGAAAAGGACACGAAUGCUUUGAGGUGGCGAGUUGCUGCAAACGAGGGGUCCCGAUGUUCUUCUUGUCCACCACCGCUUCAGUCAGGCCUGGUGUACCGAAAGACUCUCUGCGCGGCGCUGCGUGAAUUCGGUGCCGCUCUGCUCGAGCCCCUCUGCCUUAACUGUUUUUUAAGCAUUCUCGGUUGAUUCUUGACUUCUCUCUACACACUCUCAGUUUCUUCUUGACCUGACAAGUGUGGUGGCGCCACACGCAUGCGUUUGCAUCUCAGUAUGACUGUGCACAGCAGUUCAUAUGCGUACCUCCUUCUUGUCUCUCUGCCUUUGCCUCUUUUCCAUC